rnacentral:lncRNA from 1 species
UCAUUUUAAAUAGUUUUUGAUAUUCAAAAAAUACAAAAAUAUUUUCCUAACCUAUUUGAAUGAUGAUGGAUCUAUGAAAAAUAUUCUCAUCAAUUUUUGAAUUGAUUUGAGAUUUAUUUGAGAUUUUAGUUCAAUUAGGUUAUUUUUAUUCAUUUUUAAUUGAUUAAAAAUAGUUUCUGACUUUUAAAAAUGCUGAAAUUUUUUGUCAAACUUUAU